rnacentral:lncRNA from 1 species
AAAGAACCUAGAAAUAAACACUCAGACACUUAGAACAGUGUAAUCUUGGUAUGAUGAACUCGGGGUCUCUAAAAUUAGAAUAAUAUUGCUACCGCGUAUUCAGUGUUUAUGUGCUAGGCUCCAGGCCAAACAUUUAUAUACAUUUAGAGACUUCAUUUUAUCAAGUCCUGCCAGUGAGCGGAGGAAUCAGGAUUUCUUCUGUCAGAUUUCAGGGUCCCACGUGCUCUGAACCACCACACGAAUGUAAAUCACUGCUAGACCUGAAAUGGUAGCCUCUGACAUUCAGAUCAGAGAGGCCUGUUGGGCCUGGAAAGGGCUUGGAGGAUGACGCAGUCCAUCCUUGUCUUCGUACAGGUGAGGAUGCUGAGCUCACAGAGGCGGCAGGACCCAGGAAGGUGGCACAGACCGGGUUAAGGUAAACUCUUGGCUUGACUUUGCUGGGAAGAGGAGCUGCCUGGAAGGUCAGGAGCACACUCUCACGUUCAAAGAAGCCUUCUGAAGACCCAAAUGUGCCGUUAAACCCAAAAGAAGUGAGUUUGUUUAAGGGAUCCAGGACACAGGAUGGGGUCAGGAAACCUGAGUUCCAGUCUGAGUGCAGGCACUAAACAGCCGUGGUACGCAGGCCACGUCAUGGAGCCUCUGUGGGUCCCAGUUCCACGUCUUGUAGGUGGGAUGACAGUGUCCAGCUCAGCUGUGAAGAGAUAAUGCGUGCAAACAUGUUUUGCAAUUUACGAAACACGUGUGAUGGUUCUAAGGUUCAAUGGUUUCUUUUCGACCUUGUGAGAUUGUGGGUUGAUUUCCUCUCACUGGAGGGCAAUUUGGCAAUAUUUAUCAAAAGACUUAAAAACCACACAUUACUAUUUUAUGUGGAAUUCAAGUUUUAGAAAACAAUCUCAAAGCUAUGCUGAAAAAAUCAGAAACAAUCUAAAUGUCCAACAAUAGGCAAUUAGAUAAGUAAGUUAUACUAUUACUAUAUAGGAGAAUUUGAUAGUUAUCUUAAAUGUUUUGAAGAAGAAUAUUUAAUCACAUGAAAAGAUGUUCACAAUAAAUUAAGGUUUAUAAAAGAGAAAAUAAUUUUGCAAUAAGUUCCAAUUUUUUUGCAAAGAAAAAUGUAAGUGUGUGGCACAUAAGUGUUCCAUAAAUGUUGCUAUUAUUAUUAUUAUCGUUGUUGUGUCAUAUAAUAAAAGAAUGACGAGUUAAUAUAGUGUUAAUGUAGUCUAUCUCUGGAUUGUAGGAUUAUGGCUUUAAAUUUUUUUCAUCUUUUGAGUAUCUAUAAUAAACUUAUUUUUACAAUAAGAGAAAUAAG